rnacentral:rRNA from 1 species
CCUACGGGAGGCAGCAGUAGGGAAUAUUGCUCAAUGGGGGAAACCCUGAAGCAGCAACGCCGCGUGGAGGAUGAAGGUUUUCGGAUUGUAAACUCCUUUUGUUAGAGAAGAUAAUGACGGUAUCUAACGAAUAAGCACCGGCUAACUCCGUGCCAGCAGCCGCGGUAAUACGGAGGGUGCAAGCGUUACUCGGAAUCACUGGGCGUAAAGAGCGCGUAGGCGGGGUAGCAAGUCAGAUGUGAAAUCCUAUGGCUUAACCAUAGAACGGCAUCUGAAACUGUUAUUCUAGAGUGUGGAGGGGGCAGGCGGGAGGUGUGGUGGAGGGGUGAGAUGCGUAGAGAUGACGGUGAAG